UGAGUACGAGCUGCUACGGCAGCGAAGUGGGUGACGUCAAGCUUCCAAGAAAAGCCCUACACCCGUUAAGGCAUGAUGGCCUGUACCCGAAACCGACACAGGUGGGGUGGUAGAGAAUACCGAGGGGCGCGAGGUAACUCUCUCUAAGGAACUCGGCAAAAUGGCCCCGUAACUUCGGGAGAAGGGGUGCCACCGCAAGGUGGUCGCAGUGAAGAGGCCCAGGCGACUGUUUACCAAAAACACAGGUCUCCGCUAAGUCGCAAGACGAUGUAUGGGGGCUGACGCCUGCCCAGUGCCGGAAGGUUAAGGAAGCUGGUCAGCGCAAGCGAAGCUGGCGACUGAAGCCCCGGUGAACGGCGGCCGUAACUAUAACGGUCCUAAGGUAGCGAAAUUCCUUGUCGGGUAAGUUCCGACCCGCACGAAAGGCGUAACGAUCUGGGCGCUGUCUCGGAGAGAGGCUCGGCGAAAUAGAAUUGUCUGUGAAGAUGCGGACUACGUGCACCCGGACAGAAAGACCCUAUGAAGCUUUACUGUAGCUUGGUAUUGUGCCCGGGCUCUGAAUGCGCAGGAUAGGUGGGAGGCUUUGAUCCAUUGCUUGUGGGUGAUGGUGAGCCAACGGUGAGAUACCACUCUUUCAGAGCUAGGGUUCUAACGGUCACCCGUUAUCCGGGGACCGGACAGUAUCAGGUGGGCAGUUUGACUGGGGCGGUCGCCUCCUAAAAGGUAACAGAGGCGCGCAAAGGUUCCCUCAGGCUGGUUGGAAAUCAGCCGAUGAGUGUAAAGGCAGAAGGGAGCUUGACUGUGAGACCUACAAGUCGAACAGGGACGAAAGUCGGCCUUAGUGAUCCGACGGUUCUGAGUGGAAGGGCCGUCGCUCAACGGAUAAAAGUUACUCUAGGAUAACAGGCUGAUCUCCCCCAAGAGUUCACAUCGACGGGGAGGUUUGGCACCUCGAUGUCGGCUCAUCGCAACCUGGGGCUGAAGUCGGUCCCAAGGGUUGGGCUGUUCGCCCAUUAAAGCGGUACGCGAGCUGGGUUCAGAACGUCGUGAGACAGUUCGGUCCAUAUCCGGUGCAUGCGCAGGAAUAUUGAGAGGAUUUCUCCCUAGUACGAGAGGACCGGGAGGAACGCACCUCUGGUGUACCAGUUAUCGUGCCAACGGUAAACGCUGGGUAGCCAUGUGCGGAGUGGAUAACCGCUGAAAGUAUCUAAGUGGGAAGCCCACCUCAAGAUGAGUAUUCCCAUGGCGUUAGCCAGUAAGGUCACGGGCAGAACACCCGUUGAUAGGCUCUACGUGGAAGCCGGGUAACCGGUGAAGCGGAGGAGUACUAAUAGACCGAGGGCUUGACC
rnacentral:rRNA from 1 species